GGGGGCGUUGGAACCGGUGUUCCCGGCGGUCUGCAAAACCGUUAGCCGCCUGUAACCCAGGUGGAAGUGGGUUCGACUCCCAUUCGCCCCCUCCA
rnacentral:tRNA from 1 species